rnacentral:rRNA from 1 species
GAUGAACGCUGGCGGCGUGCCUAAUACAUGCAAGUCGAACGAACAGACGAGGAGCUUGCUCCUCUGACGUUAGCGGCGGACGGGUGAGUCACAUGUGUAUAACCUACCUAUAAGACUGGGAUACCUUCGGGAAACCGGAGCUAAUCCCGGAUAAUAUCUUGAACCGCAUGGUUCAAUCGUGAAAUUCGGUUUUGCUGUAACUUAUAGAUGGAUCCGCGCCGCAUUAGCUAGUUGUUAAGGUAACGGCUUACCAAGGCGACGAUGCGUAGCCGACCUGAGAGGGUGAUCGGCCACACGGGAACUGAGACGCGGUCCAGACUCCUACGGGAGGCAGCAGUAGGGAAUCUUCCGCAAUGGGCGAAAGCCUGACGGGGCAACGCCGCGUGAGUGAUGAAGGUCUUCGGAUCGUAAAACUCUGUUAUUAGGGAAGAACAAAUGUGUAAGUAACUAUGCACGUCUUGACGGUACCUAAUCAGAAAGCCACGGCUAACUACGUG